AUUUUUAACUUUCGAACUUCUGUAGCUAAGAUAACUUAAUUUCAGAAUUUAUUUGAUUAAGUAGAGCACUUUAUAUUGACUUGUAUUUAGAAUACCCGCUGUUCUUCGGAAUUGCUAGUGAUCGAAAUGUAUACAUACGUAAGGAGAGGUGAAAUGACCAAUUGUUUUUACUAUAGUUUCAUUUCAGGAGUUUUGAAAAAAAAAUGUAUUUAUUAGAAUUUUUAUAAGCUUUGAAAUGUUGAGUUUUGUCCCGAGCAGUGGUUGAAUGACUGCAACAGCAGUCUUCUUCUCAAGUGUUGCCAAGGAAGUACUGUAGAAGUGAUAAACAGGUAGUAUACAUUUUAUGGUGUUGGUUUUUAUAUCUGAAGUUAGCAACCGUUGAAAUUAUUAUUCUUCCAUUUUGAAAUUUUUUUAUAUUCCAGUUUUAUAGUAAAAUAGUUAAGAUAAUUUUAUUUUAUUUGGGGUGGAUAUCUUAUUAUGUUUUUACUUUCUCGCAUACGAAGUAUAGAGAAGGCAUUUUAAUUGUCAAAAAAAUGUGAACUCGUCAUUUUAACGAAUGAACAUCUUUUAGACCGCCAUGAGUUGUACACAAACACAUUUUUGGCAUUAUGUCUCUGUCCAUUUGACUGUGACAAAGAUAACUCAGAUUUGCUUUGAUCUUGACAAAUGAAAGUUGGUAUACGAUUUUCAUUCCAAAUGUUUAGAUUUCUAUGAAAUGUUGAGCAAAAUCCGUUCUGAGGAAGUCUGUCUGUCCGGCUAUUCGAAUAUGAGUGAACACUAUAACUGCGAAACGAAGAGAGCUUGAUGAAUAAAAUUCGGAACAGAGAUUUAACAUCUGUAGUGUAGACAACUGUGAUAUUUUGAGCCAAAUCCAACGAGGGGUUGAACAUCUGUCGGCUCCUACUUCCAGAAACAUGUAAACGCGAUAACUCAAAAACUUUAUGAUUUAAAUACAUCAAAUUUGGUAUGAGAUUAUUAUUUUUUUUUUAUUACAAGUGCAGUCCUGUGUCAAAUUUUGGUUUUAAUCGAUUGAGGCAAACGCGUCUAAAACAUAUAUUGGAUUUUCAGAUACCAUUCACAGUAUGUCAGGGAUGAGUCGCGAAAAAACUCGACAAGGAUCACAUGAUAGAUUCAGUAAAAAUGGUAAAUACAAGCCAACGGUUGAUAUUUCUUAACUGUUAGAUGCCAAUGCAAUGAAAGCGUUCUCUUUGAUAGCAGAAUAUGCGAGGGAUACCACUAUUUCUAGUUAUUUUUAAAUGGAAAAAUUAUUAUGACAUCAAAGAAUUCGACCCUGAGACUUAGAAAAAUUUCUGCGUUUUAGAUCUUGCGAUGUCUAUGAACAAGGGUGACUAAAACGAACACUAUAAAUUAGCUGAUUAAAUUUGACACGGGUUUUUUUUCUGCUAAAUUUUAAAAUUUCUGAACUGUAAACUGUGAAUUUGUUAAUGAAUUAGCUUCUAAUAUUUGAAUUCAGAUUUCUCUUUUUAACUUCUGAACUGUGAGCGUUUUUGGUUGAGCGUUCUGAGUGUGCUCGCUCAUAAAGUAAAUGUCAUAUCGGUUAAAUUUAGGGAAAGUUCCUUUCUGAAGCUAUGUAAAUUCUGAAUGCGUUUCCAACCCUUCUCCCUGCUUUCUGCUUUCCUAUACGGACAGCGUCGUUUCUUGGUCAUGGAUUUAAUAAAUAACUUUUUAAAAAACAUCCAGAAAUUGAAUCUCUGACCUGAUAACUAAGAAAAUAAAGCUACCCUUAAAGUACUGAAUAUAUAUAAGAAAAUAAUACGUGUCUAUUUUUAACCCUCCCCACCACUACUUCACUACUUUAUUACUUUCUCGUAGACAGGGAAUAAAGUAUUGGAAUCGUCACAAAAUAUGAACUCGUGAUUUUGACGCAUCUCUACGUUUUAUAUAUCUCCCCGAGUUCGAAAAACACGUUUCUGGAAAAUGUCUGUCUGUAUGUGACUCAAAACUACUUUGAGCUAGAUGGAUCAAAUUUGGUAUUUGGUCUGCACGCCAAAUGUGUUGAUCUCUAUCAAAUGUUGAGCAAAAUCCGCUCCGAGGAAGUCUGUUGGUCCGAUUUUUCAAAUAUAAUUUAGCACGAUUGCUAUAAAAUAAGAGAACUAGUUGGAUACAAUUAGGUACACAGAUUUAACACCUAUAGUAUGGACACGACUCAAAUUUUGAACCAAAUCCAAGUAAGAGUGGAUCGUCUGCCGGUUUGCGCUUUCAGAGACAUAAAUAUCAGAAUUCAAUGAACACAAAUAUAUCAAAUUUAGUAUGUGAUUUUUAGACUACAAUUGUAAUUCUGUGCCAAAUUUCGGUUUCAAUCGUUUGAGAAAAGUGCAUCUAAAACACAAAUUCAAUUUUCAGACACUAUUAACCGCUUGUUGCCGAAAGACUUGCCGAGGAUCAUAUGAUACAUUCAGCAAACAUGCUCCAUUCUCGCCAGAGGUUAAUUUUUUGUAACUAUUGUACGCCAAUACCAUGCGAGCCAUUGUCUGUCCUGCCCAAGGCCCGCAAUUUUUUGCGAGGAAUGGAAGGAUAUCGCCUUUAUCAGAAAGUGUGCAAGAAAGUUUUGGAGAGACCACUCUCGCUGAUUCUCCUUGUUUCUGUGUGCUUCUAACAGUUGAUUGAAUCGCGUUAAAAAAUUCUUUUCAUACUAGAAGUACAAAGGAGUGCCAAGUGGUGUUACGGAAAAAAAAUAAUGAUUUAAUCUUGAAUUUGGAAGAUUCCAGACGAUGGCGUAUCCAACAAUUAAGUGACAGUUUUUUGUUUUGAGGAAUUCACAGUUAGGAACAAGAGAUUUGUGACCAGUAUUGCAGUGGUUAAAGCAAAGAUGAUUGUGAAAGAAACAACCUUGUGUCGAUGCUCUGAAAUGUUUGUCAAGCAGCGCAUUUUCAAGACGAUUGACUGGAUAAUACAAAAAAAAGUGCUGUUAAAUAGGAUAGCCAGUGAUAUCCCAAAAUAACUUGACCUACAAAUGUAGUUUAAAAAUGUAUUCUGUCGAUUAUAUGUUUUUCAUUCUAAAAGAGUUCAAACGACAUAGGGAAAUGGAUAUAUUGUUGAAUUCGGUUAUGUUUAUUUUUAUUAAAAUAUUGAAUGUAAAAGUGGAAAUGCGAGAUUUAAUAUUUAUAUAACUCAUGUGAAUGAAGGAAGAAAAAUCCUUGUUCUCAAGUCUGACAACGAAAUAGAUUCCAUUUUUCCACAAUUAUAAAGACCCGCUCCAAAACCAUUAUUGCUUUUCAUUUCAUAAUAGGUAGAACUAUAAGGCUGGUAGGGAAUGCGAAUUCGGAGAGUUUUCCAUUCAUUCAUCUCUUGUUUGAGUUAAGAAGAAAGAAAAUUGGGGAUUGGAAAUCUUUUUUUAGAUGCUGACUUCUAAGCUAAUGCAGCCAUUGAAAAAAUAUUUAACCCGAAAGUGUCUUAUUAUGAUGAGGUUAUGAAUUGGCUUAGUAUGAAUUAUCUUUCAUUGCAAAAAAAUGAUGGCGAAAUGGAAAUGCCAACCCUUCCACCACUCUUUGAGGCUCCUUUAAGCAGGAUUAUGCGUCAGCAAACUCACUCAGCCGAGGUUUUCAUCCUUCCUGCAACAUAAUAUUCUUUAUUUCAAAUCCUUCUUUGUGCAUAAAUGUUCGUACCUAAGAAAAAGAAUAUCUGUAGAAUUUUUAUUUUUUUUAGUCAAUUCAUGAAAUCCAUUGUGCAAAAGCUAGAAUAUAAUAUAAUAAAUCUGCUUAAAAUCGUAUAAGCAUGGAUAGAAACCAACACAGAACCCAAUUUGUUAUAAAUUAUAAAGCAUACCAACUAUGAUAAUUCAAAUGAACCCAAUGAAAGAGUCCUAACUCUGAUCUUCAUAUAUUUAAAGUCAUUGGCAAAUGUGGAAGGAAUAAAGCUUUAAAUAUAACUCUCGAUGAAAACUGUCUUACAUUAUAGAGUCUUUAUAUAGCCCAAAGAGGCUCAAAAGUACAUAUGACAUCAUUCAGCGACUUACUGUCAAUCAGCUUUAGUUGUUUUCAAUUUCGUUGUAUAAAAAUUAUUUCAGUACUAUUCUCAUAAAUUUCUGUAAAUAUCCGUAAUGUUUUGAAUGAUCGAUAGUACACUUUUAGUUUUAAUAAUAUGCAUCUCAAGGGUGUUUUUUUUUUUUUUAAUCUUUUUCAAAAGAUUUUAUUCUGAUACCCACAUUGGAUACUUGAGAUUUCUUAUCAUGUGUAUUAUUAAUCCUACAUUUUAUGAUUUUCCACUUUUCACCAAAAGUCGUUUAUUGAUACAUAUAAGUGAAAGAGGUGGGGGGAGGGGAUUUUUUUCAUACUAUUUUUUUACAUUAUAUUUUUAAGACCUUAAUUAAUUCUUUAAAUAAAAAUAAUUUUUACGCUUUUGAUAAAUAACUGCACCAUGUUUUAUGAUUAAGGAUAUUGAA